GAUUAUGUCACUCAGACGAGAUGGCUGCACAUGUGCAAAGACACAGAGGAGCUGGUAAGGGAUUACAGCACCCAGAGACGGCCAAAUGAGGAGGAGACGUGUGGAAAGCUUUACUGUCCUGUUUGUUCUCUGAUCUUCUCUGCACUGUGCAAAAGGGAUAUCUCCCCUCAUCCUCUAAAAAGAGAUAUCUCUGAGGAAGCAAAUGUAGUAAUACAAGCCUAGGAUUUGGCCCUGCAACGUCAACACCGAUGCGCCUCUGACGAUGUUUAGACCCUGGUGAACCAGACCCUGGUGAACCAACAGCCAGACCCUGGGGAACCAGACCCUGGUGAACCAACAGCCAGACCCUGGUGAACAGACCCUGGUUAACCAGACCCUGGUUAACCAGACCCUGUGAACAGACCCUGGUGAACCAACAGCCAGACCCUGGAACAGAAACCAGACCCUGGUGAUCGGACCCUGGUGAACAGACCCUGGUGAACAGACCCUGGUGAACCAGACCCUGGUGAACCAGACCCUGGUGAACAGACCCUGGUGAACCAACAGCCAGACCCUUGUGAACCAGACCCUGGUGAACGGACCCUGGUGAACCAACAGCCAGACCCUGGUGAACGGACCCUGGUGAACCAACAGCCAGACCCUGGUGAACAGACCCUGGUGAACAGACCCUGGUGAAACAGCAGCCAGAGCCUGGUGUUCAUCCUUCCAGACCAAUCAGAUCACAGCUGGUGGUGUGUGGGGAAGCAGGUCAGGACCACCUGGGAAGAACCUGGAAUAUGGAAUAUGGAAUAUGAGGCAUUAACGGCACAUCACCACCGGCAGUCUCGCUCAGUGGCCUCUACUGGCCUGUGCGGAGCCAUGAGGUGCAUCCAAAAUGGUUCAUCAUCGUCUGCGUCAGCUUCAUCGUCUGCCCCAUCACUUGUCAAGUGGUCCGUUCUGCGAGACCACACUAAAUACUACGCACUGCAUCUUUAAGCUUAAAUUCCACAAGAAAGGAUAUCACAUCCAAUCCUCUCGAAACUCCUCUCUUCUCCAACAUCUGCGGGUCAAAGUCUCACAGUACGAUGGAUUGUUUUUAAAUUGGCAGAAGCAGUCGUGUACAGUAGCUGGUAUCACUCAGUCCUAAAGGAACCAUUCCCCAGAGGAACAGAGCGGGUGUUCCACACACAGCAGGGCUUUUGCAACUCACAUGGCUGACGAGAUGAACUGAAACGAAACCACGAUAUAGACAUGUAAAGCAUUGUUUGGUACACGAAGAAACACAUGAAGAAGAAUGCAGGAUACAGAAGAAACAAGUCAACAGACGCAUGUUUACGUUUGAAGUGUUGAGUGUGUGUUUUCUUUCGUUCUCGAGCCGUGGUUUAUUCAUUUAAUAGACACAAGUCGCUUAAUUUGAUUAUCGCUCAUCGUUUAUGGGGCCAAUUCGCUGUGAGUGGGGAGACCCACUCACAGCGAGCUCUGAACUAGCUGCAGUUAGAGCAAAAAGGGAAUUUUUAAAGGAAAUUUAUAUCCAUUACAACCUCAGAAGGCUUCGUAGACCCAGACCUUCUAGCAAACGAAACGAGAUAUAAAAUGUAUUGACCAACGGGCUCGUUGGUCAAUACAUUUUUUUCAACAGUUUUCCAUCAGUCUCCGGGUCAUCUCAGGACCAUUUGAUCUUUGCACCCUGAUCUGAUCACAUGUUAACAAACUCAAAGAAAAUAUGACCUGAUCCAAAAAUAAGAAACCAAUGAGGACAAUAAUAAUAAUACUAAAUCUGGCCUUAUCAGUUGUUAUCUUCUCAGGCUUAACACAUUUUCUCUGCUUGCCAAACCAUGCAGCUCUAUUUCUACAUUCACAAGCUGUUUGUACAUUCGCAGGCACCGGACAUCUGAACACCUACCUUCAACCCACACACACACACACACACACACACACACACACACACACACACACACACACACACACACACACACACACACACACACACACACAUUCACAUGCACAGACACACUCACCCUGCAAAACUUGGCUAUCGCUAAUAGCCUCGGCAAACAUAGAGGUGUGUGUGUGUGCAUGUGUGUGCACGUCUGUCUGUCUGGAAAGAGGAUAUUAUGGUCUGUCUCUCCCCCGCUCCUUCCAAGUGCACUUUUCAAGGUGCAGGGCUUGGUAUCACCAUGGCAACAGCGAAGCAACUGAGAACACAGUGGUGGGUGAUGGGUGUGUGUGUGUGUGUGUGUGUGUGUGUGCGAGG
ensembl:lncRNA